GCCUAGGAAAGACCCGUGGACUGGCACAGAAAGUGUGAAAUACCACAUGAGCUCUGCUAAUAAGUCAGUACAGCUGUAAGAAGUCAAUGCAGUAUCAGCUGAUACCUGGGAGAAGAAAACCACAAACCCGUUUCUCUCUGCAGAGCAUUUCCAGCACACCUUAAGCCUGUGAACGACGCUGGCAUGACCCAUUAGCAGGAUGUUGUGCAAUAUGGUGCUUGUCAUCUGUUUCAAAGACACAGUGAUGAGAUACAGAGACUGGCACAUCAGCAAGAAAAGUUUUCUUCUUGGAGAGAAAUACUACAAUACAUCCAAGACAAGAGGAGACAACAUGACCCAGGGAAUACUUUCCUUUCCCUGGCACAUACUUGAGGAUCACAUCUCUCACAGGUGUCUUUGGCAUAACAGGGACCAGCAAACAACUUGUGACCCAAAAGAGAAACAGCAGCAGUAG
rnacentral:lncRNA from 1 species